rnacentral:lncRNA from 1 species
GAAGGAGAACAAUAAGAGGCAGGUAAAGCUGGAACCCGUAACAGGAGGAAACGUGAGCAUUGAAAACCUUCCCUUUGGAUGAACUGACCACAGCUGGACAACACCAGUGCCAGGCAGGGUUCCAAGCACUGCAGAGAUGAAGCACCUUCUUCCAGGAGUUCCUGGAGUUCUCAGAAGCCAGAGUGGACUUGUUCCUCCGUUUUAUUUGAUGAGCUUCAACACUCCAUAUGACGCCUUCAAUAGGAAGGGAAGAAGAUUAAUAACAUGGAAACAGAGAAUCACCUGGACCAAUUUUGGUAUUAAAAAACCUGGAAAAAGCAUUACAUGUUUGUUUUUAAUUUUUCUGCCCUCAGAGUGAAUCUUGGUCGUCGUUACAGAACUGUAGAGCUCCAAGAUGAUACCUUUUAUUUCUAAGGAUCCUGCAUGCAGUGUGAGAAGCUGGCUGACGUUGCUAGCUCCACUUCAAAGGUAAAGAAACUGAGUCAGGCAGAGAGAGCACCAGAUCUGUCUGAGCUCAGUGGAGGCAAACAAUCAGAGACUCGACUGAAUGACAGCCUCAGAAAAAGGAUGCAGUUUAGUCUUCCAGCUACGGGCUAAGUUGUCUUAUUUUUUCUAGAGUAAUAAAAAUCAGAAUUUUAAAGUAU